GUGUGGUGCUGUGGGAGGCAGGUGGGAUGCUGCACCCCCAGAAUCUUCUCACCAAUUGACUGGAUGCUGCUCAGCAUCUUGGAGCCAGCCCUCCCCCAGGCUGGGGCUUCCUGGCUUUUAUAGGGGCUGCAUGUCACCACCUUCCCUGCUUUCAGUGAG
rfam:Echinops telfairi clone CH238-154P10, complete sequence.